rnacentral:rRNA from 1 species
UUAUGGCUCAGGAUGAACGCUAGCGGCAGGCUAACACAUGCAAGUCGAGGGGCAGCGCGAGUAGCAAUACUUGGCGGCGACCGGCGCAAGGGUGCGUAACGCGUGAGCAACAUGCCCGUGUCAGGGGGAUAAUCCAGGGAAACUUGGUCUAAUACCCCAUAGUAAUUUUGUAAGGCAUCUUAUAAGAUUUAAAGCUUUGGUGGAUACGGAUUGGCUCGCGUGACAUUAGCUGGAUGGUAAGGUAACGGCUUACCAUGGCUAUGAUGUCUAGGGGUUCUGAGAGGAAGGUCCCCCACACUGGAACUGAGACACGGUCCAGACUCCUACGGGAGGCAGCAGUGAGGAAUAUUGGACAAUGGAUGGAAAUCUGAUCCAGCCAUGCCGCGUGAAGGAAGAAGGUCCUAUGGAUUGUAAACUUCUUUUGUAUGGGAGCAAUAAGGCCUACGAGUAGGUUGAUGAGAGUACCAUACGAAUAAGCACCGGCUAACUCCGUGCCAGCCGCCGC